GCAGCAUCAGCAGGAAGACGACAUAGUCUCGUUCACGGAGGAAGUCAGAAGCUGAACCAAUUGUGGAGCUGGCAAAAGAUGCCUUCUAUGUAGUGCGCAAAGGAGAUAUUGUUGGUGUUUAUAAGAGUUUCGGCGAUUGUCAGGCUCAGCUUAGUUCUUCGAUAAUUUUACAUUUUUCUAUUUCUGGGUUAAAUGGGUUUAAUGUGCUUGAACUUCACUUCACUUCACUCUUUCUUUUUUGUUUGGAAUUGUGGCAGAUAUUUGAUCCUCCUGUUAGUGUGUACAAAGGGUACUCUUUGCCUGAGGACACGGAAGAAUAUUCAUGUGGACUUACGAAUGCCAUUUACACAAUCGCUGCUGCAGAUUUGAAGGACGAUAUUUUCGGCAAGCUUAUGCAUUGCCCUUUUCAAGAUCCAGGAUCUUUGCAAGGUGAAGCAUCUGUCACGGAUGCACUCAAAAAGAGAUCCCAUGAAGUGCCAGCAUCAGAUAAUUUUGAUGAUCCAUUGAGAAAGCAUGUCAAGAUAGAUCAUUCCACUCAAUCAUUACCCUUAGAUUCUG